GACCUUCGGGAGCCUUCACAGGUGCUGCAUGGCUGUCGUCAGCUCGUGUCGUGAGAUGUCCGGUUAAGUCCGGUAACGAGCGCAACCCUCGCUGUGUGUUAUAUGUGUCACACGGGACUGCCGGUAUCAAGCCGGAGGAAGGUGGGGAUGACGUCAAGUCAGCAUGGCCUUUAUGUCUGGGGCUACACACACGCUACAAUGGCCAGUACAAUAGGUUGCAAGACCGCGAGGUGGAGCCAAUCCUUAAAGCUGGUCUCAGUUCGGAUUGCAGGCUGCAACUCGCCUGCAUGAAGUCGGAGUUGCUAGUAACCGCGCGUCAGCUAUACUGCGGUGAAUACGUUCCCGGGGCUU
rnacentral:rRNA from 1 species